AUGUUUAAUCAAGACAACUUAAUUUUCCCCGUAAUGACAACAAUAGGGUUACAGUAAACUCCAGGAUCCUAUUGUCUUUUCAUAUAUAUCAGGUAGGCCAAUGAAUUGGCUUUUUGAAUUCCACUGUGGUUUUACAAAACGUUAAAAUGUCUCAUCUGCACAGGGAAGAAAGUAAUUAACAUUUUAUUUAUAGAACACAGAUUUAAUUCAACCAAAAUGCUAGACGCCAAAUCACCUAAAACCCUUCCAGCUCUGGUUAGUCUAUCAGAGUCCUCUGUCCUAUUUUGCAGUUUCAUUAGGCCCCCUCAUUAAAUUAGGAUGGUGAAAUUGAAGUGGCUCCGUUUAAUGGCUUAUAAUUUGAGGGAAUGGUGUUGCCUCAAGUGUUUUCCACCAUCCAUCAGCCGAGACCAGGUAAACAGCGUCCGACUGGGUUUAAAUCUGAUCGUAAAAGAGUCCUUCACCCUUUCCAAAACCAGCAAGGUCUUUAUUUUGCAGCAUAUAUCCUGCAAUAUUGACGUUUCUGUCACAACUAUAUUUAGUACAUUUUAGAAAAGUGACAUUCUCAUACAGGUUACUUACAGUUUGACAGAAAUUGAACUUGAAAUGAAAAUUCUGUCAUCAUUUACUCAUCCUCAUGUUGUUCCAGACUCCGAUGACCCCUAAGGAAAUGUUAAGGAUAAUGUUUGCUUCAGUCACCAUUCACUUUCAUUGUGUGGAAAAAAAAAAAAAACACCAUCAACAUUCUUCAAAAAAUGUCCUCUUGUGUUUCAUGGAAGAAAGACUCUGCAAAGGCCUAACCUGUCACAAAACAUGAAAUUUAAAUGUCAGGACAAGCCCAGAGCCUGAUCUAUCUGCAAACUAUUAUCUGCAUGAGGAAAGAUGAUAAAUAAGACAUGCUGCUGAGAGCUACUGGCACACGAGGAUCCCCCCUGAGAUUUCUUGCAACAAAAAACCAAGGUAGUGCCUGGAGAAGUGAAUUUAUCAACCUGUGGAGGGAUAGUAACAAUUGGUUUUAAGUUAUUAAUAAAAUCCAGGGCAGACAGCACUUGGCCCGAACCUCGAGGUACAAUGUGAUGUUUUGCCCUUGAGAGCCAAAGCAAAAGCCACACUACAGUUUUACUUUGUUUUUCGAGUCCCUGCCAAGAUGUAUUUAUCACCACACUACCAAAAACACACACACAUACCACAUCUUAUGAAGAGUUCACUAUCUCAACUAAAAUGUCUGUUAAAUUGUGCUGCCAUAUUAUACCCUUGUGUAUCUUCUCUUUAUCUUAUAUUUGUAUGAAUCAUAUAAAGAUAAUGCUGAGGCAUAUACCAAUGGUUCCAGCUUUACAUUUUUGGUCAUUUCCCAUUUAAUAAGGAAAAUGUAAUUAAAGUUCUGAAAGUAGGUUGCUGUUCCCGUCCCUCCUCAUGUCAAUCACUAGGUGUCACUGUUGACACUUGCAACAUUUCUUUCCACAACAACUUUCAUCUUUAAAACAACUGCUUUUCUAUUCUGUUCUAUUAUUUAUUUGUUGAUGCAAUACAGUGAUACGAUUUUAUUGCAGUUCUGUAUUUUAAUUAACGCCAUUGUACAUUAAAUCACACUAAAAUAGAGAAGAUUGGUUGUUAGGUCAUGUUUCAAACUCUGCUGAAGAAAUGCACAGUUUGAUACAAUUGCAUUAGCCUCUGGUGGAGGCUAAAACAUGUUUGUUUUUUCCUCAAUUUAAGAUAUUGUUUUAAAUAAACACUUGGCGGUAAUAUGCACAUUU